AGUGAACGCUGGCAGUAGGCCUAACACAUGCGAGUCGAACGGCAGCACAGUAAGAGCUUGCUCUUACGGGUGGCGAGUGGCGGACGGGUGAGGAAUACAUCGGAAUCUACUUUUUCGUGGGGGAUAACGUAGGGAAACUUACGCUAAUACCGCAUACGACCUACGGGUGAAAGCAGGGGAUCUUCGGACCUUGCGCGAUUGAAUGAGCCGAUGUCGGAUUAGCUAGUUGGCGGGGUAAAGGCCCACCAAGGCGACGAUCCGUAGCUGGUCUGAGAGGAUGAUCAGCCACACUGGAACUGAGACACGGUCCAGACUCCUACGGGAGGCAGCAGUGGGGAAUAUUGGACAAUGGGCGCAAGCCUGAUCCAGCCAUACCGCGUGGGUGAAGAAGGCCUUCGGGUUGUAAAGCCCUUUUGUUGGGAAAGAAAAGCAGCAGGUUAAUACCCCGCUGUUCUGACGGUACCCAAAGAAUAAGCACCGGCUAACUUCGUG
rnacentral:rRNA from 1 species